UGGCGCACAUCUUGGUGGCAGUAGCCGGUGUUCAAAUGCAUACUUUGAAAACUGAAGUGGAGAAUGGUGCCAGGUGAAACAUA
rnacentral:rRNA from 9 species